rnacentral:misc_RNA from 1 species
AAGUCGUAACAAGGUUUCCGUAGGUGAACCUGCGGAAGGAUCAUUACCACGUUCCAAACGUAUCAACCAACGCGAACUGUUCUUCUCUCCCAAUACCUGAGAAUGAGCUGGAAUGGCAGGACGAGCGUGUGUGGGGCUCUCGUAUGAGAGUCGCAGGCGUCGGCCACUACUGUAAGGCUUCGGCCUUACGACAGCUGGAUUUCAGGCAUUGGCAACUGUCUGCUCGAGUGUCUACACCGGCUCGAGUGUGAUGGGUCUUUUUAAUAAACCGUAUUCACAUAUUUUGCUAGUUGACUUUAUAUGUUGUUUAAAGCUCUCAGGCUUUAGGCACACGUUUAUUUAUUUAAACGAUUCAUACAACUCUUAGCAAUGGAUGUCUCGGUUCUC